rnacentral:rRNA from 1 species
UCCUACGGGAGGCAGCAGUGGGGGAUAUUGCACAAUGGGGGAAACCCUGAUGCAGCGACGCCGCGUGAGGGAAGACGGUCCUCUGGAUUGUAAACCUCUGUCUUCGGGGACGAAACGAGACGGUACCCGAGGAGGAAGCCACGGCUAACUACGUGCCAGCAGCCGCGGUAAUACGUAGGUGGCAAGCGUUGUCCGGAAUUACUGGGUGUAAAGGGAGCGUAGGCGGGCAGGCAAGUCAGGCGUGAAAUAUAUCGGCUCAACCGGUAACGGCGCUUGAAACUGCAGGUCUUGAGUGAAGUAGAGGUUGGCGGAAUUCCUAGUGUAGCGGUGAAAUGCGUAGAUAUUAGGAGGAACACCAGUGGCGAAGGCGGCCAACUGGGCUUUUACUGACGCUGAGGCUCGAAAGUGUGGGGAGCAAACAGGAUUAGAUACCCUGGUAGUCC